rfam:Asian citrus Psyllid, Diaphorina citri - Florida Strain, whole genome shotgun sequence.
GCCUAGUUAGCUUAGUUGGUAGUGCGUCGGCCUUGUAAGCGCUAGGCCGCGGGUUCGAUUCCCGCCCGGGGCG